UUCAGAAAAUCCUUGACUCACUAUGAAAUGUAAAACUCAGAAUAUCUUAUCCAUGACAGCCUUCUUUCACAAUACCCAUUUUUUCAUAUGUUGUGGCUAUAACGAUAGACACUGGAUCCAAAGCACCUUGCAUGGAAAAGGAGGAAGGAGGAGCCAAGGGACUACAGGCCGGUGAGCCUCACCUAUUUGCCUGGGAAUGUCAUGGAACAGAUCUUCCUGGAAGAGUCUUGGGUCAUAUCAACCAUUGGCUACUAGCAAUGUUCAAAGGGUUUUAAGUUGCCUGGGAAGAAUUAACACCAGAAGAUAAACACAUGACUAAGCAGUAUUUUCAGGUGCAUCAAGAAUUUAGAGGCUGUUUUUCCAAUCUCCUUUCCCUGUUUUCCUGCACCACUCAAGGCAGGAGGUAAAAGAGGUUAGGUGGGGGGGAAGGUGUUUUUACUUUGUUUUUUGUUUUCACCGCUUUCAUCUAUUCACAAUAAGCAACAAAUUGUAUUAACCUCCCCACACUGGCUCUGUUUUGCCCAUGACGUUAAUUGGUGAGUGAUCUCUCUGUCUUUAUCUCAACCUAUCAGCUUUUUCUUCAUUAAAUUUUCUCCUCCUUUCCAUCUGAAGAGGAGGGUGAGAGAGCAGCAUGGUGGAGCUGAGCUGCCCAGCCAUAUUAAAAUCCUGUACAUUUAGAGGUUCAUGUGGGAGCAGUGCUUGAAGAGCUACGGCCUAUGGGAAGCCCACAUGGGAUCAGUUCAGGAAAGACAGCAUCUCAUGGAGGAAGGACCCCAUGUUGGAACAGGGACAGAGUGACAGAGUGAUGAUGAAGGAGCAGAAGAGACAAAGCAUUAGGAACUGGCUGCAGCCCCCAUUCCCUGUUCCCCUGCGCUGCUUUUAGUUCUCACUGCUCUUAUUUGUUAUUAGUAGGCAAUAAAUUACAAUUUUCUCACUUGUUCUCAGUAUGUUUGGCCUGUGACAGAGAUUGGCUAAUUAUAUCCUUGUAUUUAUCUUAACCCAUGAUCAUUUGUUUCAUUACAUUUUUCCUCUUGCUUACUUCAGGAGGGGAAAUGAGGGAGCAGCUGUGUGGUACUUAGCUGGCCACCAGUGUGAAACCACCACAGCAUCAUCCUGUACUGGUUGUAUACUAGGCACUCCUUUCACCAGAAUUUUGAAAACCUUGCAUUAGUUUUGAGGAAAAUGGUAUCUGAUACAUAUAGCCACGUCAGCAAACAUAGUGAGUGCACCAUAUUUGGUUAGCAACAGGAAGACUAUAACCAAAUCUGUAUUGGGAUACAGCCAUAGCCUUCUUGGGAUAAUGCCUUUUCAGUUGCACAGGAUAUAGUUCCUUUUGUAACACAUCUUGCCUCUGAUAGCACCACCCUUCUGUUGGCCUUUGAUGUUGACUGCAUACUCAGAUUACACAGCAACUGAAAGUGUCUGAAAUUGAUUUCAAUUAAGAUGCUACAAAAUAGGGUGGAGAAGUGUCUUAAAUUGUUAGCAACAACAUUUAAUGAAACUGUUUUUAUUAGUUAGCUCAACAAUUCAGAGUACUGUAUCCUACAUCUGGUUUCUUAAUGGUCAUUGUUUGAACAACUCAAGCACCUAGAAAGGAUUCAUCCCUGCUACCCAUUCUGCCAGGCUGCUGCAUUCAAUUUUGUAUAAGAGGUACAUCAUCAAGUUUGUCUUCCGUACAGAAAGAGGACCUUCUGACAUUCAGGUGGAAUAGAUAAAA